UGGGCUGUCGCCAAACGGCAAGGCACAGGAUUCUGACUCCUGCAUUUGAAGGUUCGAAUCCUUCCAGCCCAG
rnacentral:tRNA from 2 species